rnacentral:sRNA from 1 species
GUGAAGGGCGCGGGUGGGGGGCGCUGCCGGCCUCGUGGGUACGUUCGUGCCGCGUCUGUCCCAGAGCUGGGGCCGCAGGAGCGGAGGCAAGAGGGGCACUAUGGCAGUCAAAGUUAGGAGGCAGAGGCCGAGGAGGCGAGUCUGUUGGGCCUUGGUGGCUGUGCUCUUGGCAGACCUGUUGGCACUGAGUGAUACACUGGCAGUGAUGUCUGUGGACCUGGGCAGUGAGUCCAUGAAGGUGGCCAUCGUCAAACCUGGAGUGCCCAUGGAAAUUGUCUUGAAUAAGGAAUCUCGGAGGAAAACCCCGGUGAUUGUGACCCUGAAAGAAAAUGAAAGAUUCUUUGGAGACAGUGCAGCAAGCAUGGCGAUUAAGAAUCCAAAGGCUACGCUACGUUACUUCCAGCACCUCCUGGGGAAGCAGGCAGAUAACCCCCAUGUAGCUCUUUACCAGGCCCGCUUCCCGGAGCACGAGCUGACUUUCGACCCACAGAGGCAGACUGUGCACUUUCAGAUCAGCUCGUGAGUGUUCUGUUGGGGAAGGUGGUCUCG